rnacentral:rRNA from 1 species
AGAGUUUGAUCAUGGCUCAGGACGAACGCUGGCGGCGUGCUUAACACAUGCAAGUCGAACGGAGUUAAGCGCUGGUCUGAUGCUAGCUUGCUAGUGGAUUUCCUUGCUUAACUUAGUGGCGGACGGGUGAGUAACGCGUGAGUAACCUGCCCUUGAGUGGGGAAUAACGCCCUGAAAAGAGCGCUAAUACCGCAUAACACAUAUUUGCCGCAUGACAGAUAUGUCAAAGAUUUAUCGCUGAAGGAUGGACUCGCGUCCGAUUAGCUAGUUGGUGAGGUAACGGCCCACCAAGGCGACGAUCGGUAGCCGGACUGAGAGGUUGAACGGCCACAUUGGGACUGAGACACGGCCCAGACUCCUACGGGAGGCAGCAGUGGGGGAUAUUGCGCAAUGGGGGAAACCCUGACGCAGCAACGCCGCGUGGAGGAUGACGGUUUUCGGAUUGUAAACUCCUUUUAUAAGGGACGAACUAAGACGGUACCUUAUGAAUAAGCUCCGGCUAACUACGUGCCAGCAGCCGCGGUAAUACGUAGGGAGCAAGCGUUGUCCGGAUUUACUGGGUGUAAAGGGUGCGUAGGCGGCUUGGCAAGUCAGAUGUGAAAUGCAGAGGCUCAACCUCUGAACUGCAUUUGAAACUGUCAGGCUUGAGUGAAGUAGAGGCARGSSGAMWUYYCUGUGUAGCGGUGAMAUGCGUAGAGAUAGRGMRGRAMMMYAGUGGCGASGSSGCCUGCUGRGCUUUAACUGACGCUGAGGCACGAMAGCGUGSGUAGCAAACAGGAUUAGAUACCCUGGUAGUCCACGCUGUAAACGAUGAUUACUAGGUGUGGGUGGACUGACCCCAUCCGUGCCGCAGUUAACACAAUAAGUAAUCCACCUGGGGAGUACGGCCGCACGGUUGAAACUCACAGGAAUUGACGCGGGCCCGCACAAGCAGCCGAGUAUGUGGUUUAAUUCGAAGCAACGCGAAGAACCUUACCAGGUCUUGACAUCGAGUGACGAUCUUAGAGAUAAGAUUUUCCUUCGGGACACGAAGACACGUCGUGCAUGGUUGUCGUCAGCUCGUGUCGUGAGAUGUUCGGUUCAGUCCCGCAACGAGCGCAACCCUUGCUAUCAGUUGCUACGCACGAGCACUCUAAUAGGACUGCCGUUGACAAAACGGAGGACAGUGCGGACGACGUCAAAUCAUCAUGCCCCUUAUGACCUGGGCUACACACGUACUACAAUGGCCGUAAACAGAGGGACGCAAUACAGCGAUGUGGAGCAAACCCCUAAAAGCGGUCUCAGUUCAGAUUGCAGGCUGCAACCCGCCUGCAUGAAGUCGGAAUUGCUAGUAAUCGCGGAUCAGCAUGCCGCGGUGAAUACGUUCCCGGGCCUUGUACACACCGCCCGUCACACCAUGGGAGCCGGUAAUACCCGAAGUCAGUAGUUCAACCGCAAGGAGAGCGCUGCCGAAGGUAGGAUUGGCGACUGGGGUGAAGUCGUAACAAGGUAGCCGUA